rnacentral:lncRNA from 1 species
GAGCAGUCCUUAGAGAUCGUCUGCUUAAAGGCUGAGACCCUCGCCACCAGAGGAUAGGAGGGUAGCCCAGUGAUGCGGCGGGAGGUGAGACUUUAGGUAGCUCCUGCCUCGCUGGCCUCCAGCCUAUGUGUGCCCACCCUCCACGCGUCCCCAGCACCGCAGGGAAGCCAUCCGACGCCUUAACCUUUCCCUGGCUAUUCCAAGCAAGGCAAAGGGCCAAGCGUCUAGGACUCUGGUCUUCUCUGCACCUGGCAACAUGAAGACAACCAGAGGCCACCUCGGGGGCGGGGCACAAAUGAAAUUCACGGGUAGAGGAAAAGACAGAGGACACACUCCUAAGGGAAGAGGCAAUAGGAGCAGAACGGAGGAGGGGAAAGAGCAGAGCGUGAAAAGUCAAGGUUUCGGGGCCUUUUUUGGUAGGAGGCCUGUGAUAAGGUUCUUGACUGAACAACCUGGCCUAGAGAAAACCUUCCCACUGAGACAACUCUCCUGCUGGAGGGUAGUCUUUCAGAGCAGCGGCCUGCAGAAAGGAAGAGAUGUCAUCCUUGAAUGGAUCUAAUCAGAGAGGGUGCUGGCCUCAGAGAGAGGGGGGGCGCGGGGGCGCGCUCGGCUUUUCCUCAUACCUCUGAGAGACCCUACUUCCUGGGUUCACUGUCCACUGUCUGGUUGCUCAUGCCUGAUGACUCAACAUAUGCCAAAUAAAGGAUACCCAAGUGGGCAGGAU